rnacentral:rRNA from 1 species
UAUUGCACAAUGGGGGAAACCCUGAUGCAGCGACGCCGUGUGAGUGAAGAAGUAGUGCGGUAUGUAAAGCUCUAUCAGCAGGGAAGAAAAUGACGGUACCUGAUUAAGAAGCCCCGGCUAACUACGCGCCAGCAGCCGCGGUAAUACGUAGGGGGCAAGCGUUAUCCGGAUUUACUGGGUGUAAAGGGAGCGUAGACGGCAGCACAAGUCUGGAGUGAAAUGCCGGGGCUUAACCCGGGAACUGCUUUGGAAACUGUGCAGCUAGAGUGCAGGAGAGGUAAGUGGAAUUCCUAGUGUAGCGGUGAAAUGCGUAGAUAUUAGGAGGAACACCAGCGGCGAAGGCGGCUUACUGGACCGUGACUGACGUUGAGGCUCGAAAGCGUGGGGAGCAAACAGG